GUCAAACUCAAAGCAAGUUGUGCUUGUGUUGGAUGUGGACAAGUGUUUGGUUCGUUGAAUGAUGUGCAGUGCCUUGUUGCUUGAACAUAAUGCAACUUAUUAGCUAAGUAAUAUGUUCGUUUUCUAGCUUCGAAAGCUAGUCUUAAAUAACUAUGUCACAUAUAACUUUCAGUGUGAAAAUGUUAAGUGAUAAUGUUUGUGUUCUGUGCGUUGUGCAUUUGUUAAUAUUAUUAGCACUGACAAAGGGCACUACUGAAGCUCAAGAACUAAAACCGCCUGCAUUAGACUUCAAUAAGCACAGACUAGUUCAACCUAUUGUACACCAUGCCAGAACGAGAAGAGAAAUCUCUACAACUAGAGACACGAGCGGUGCACAUCAUUCAGAGGUGACAGUAACGGUUCCCAUAGACGGCCAGGACUACGUGUUGGACCUGAGAUUGAACCUAGAUCUAGUCACAGACAACCAUGUACUUAGCUACCAGAAGAACGGCAAGACUGUUCUACAUAAACCUAAGAAAGAGGAUAUAGACUUAUGUCAGUACUCCGGCACUGUGAGAGGCAAGCCUGGCUCCUGGGUGGCGGUGUCCACGUGUCAUGGCGUCCGCGGCAUCGUGUUCGAUGGAGAACGGAUGAGAUAUAUCGAACCGGCUGAAGGACCGAGCAUACAAUCAAAUCACUACAUCUACGAUCAUGGGGACUUGAACACCGACUUCCAUUGCGGCUACGUCGGCGGCGUCACAAAGAACGCGAGCUACGACCCACACCUCUUCAAGAAGUAUACUAGUGAACAGGAUCGCCAGAGGAGCAGGAUUAGUCGGUACAAAAGGUACGCGUCAGACGACACGCAAGUCCGAGGGCCGUACAACGCGAACAAACUGUCUCGGUACGUGGAACUGGUCCUGGUGGCAGACAACAGGGAGUACAAGGCCAACGGGGAGAACAUACAGACCGUGUACCGCCAGAUGAAGGAUGUCGCCAACAUUAUUAACUCGGUAUACACACCGUUGAACGUGUUCAUAGCGCUAGUAGGAGUAGUGGUAUGGACAGAGGGAGACCAGAUAGAUCUAGAAGAGAACGGCGACAGAACUCUGAACAACUUCCUCACGUACCGCAAGUCGGUGCUUGUCAGAGACAUACCUAACGACAACGCUCAGUUAUUGACCCGCCAAAAAUUCAAAGACGGUGUAGUGGGGAAGGCUUUGAAAGGACCGAUAUGUACCUACGAAUUCUCUGGAGGAGUGUCGACGAAUCAUUCAGAGGUUAUCGGUCUGGUGGCCACCACCAUAGCUCAUGAGAUGGGUCAUAACUUCGGCAUGGAGCAUGACACCGAUGAGCUAUGCACGUGCCCUGAUGCAAAGUGCAUUAUGAGCCCUUCCAGUACCUCUGUGACACCCAUACAUUGGUCGUCUUGUAGUUUGAGCUCUAUAGCUCUGGCUUUUGAACGGGGCAUGGAUUAUUGUUUGAGAAACAAACCAAAGCGUCUAUUCGAGUCGCCGACGUGCGGCAACGGGUUCACGGAGCCGGGCGAGCAGUGCGACUGCGGCAGUAUGGCGGACCCGCGCGCCUACAACCCGUGCCACGCCUGCUGCGACCCCAGUACUUGCAUGCUGCGGGGGAACGCCACCUGCGGGGCGGGGAUGUGCUGCGAUCUACAGACAUGUCGUCCAAAGUCGGCGGGCACAGUAUGUAGGUCGGCGGACCGCGAGUGCGACCUGCCCGAGUAUUGCACCGGCUACUCCGAGUACUGCCCCGACGACGUCUUCAAGAUGGACACCACGCCCUGCGGGAAGGAUGGAGAGAAAGCCUACUGCGUUCGUGGUUCGUGUCGCUCCCACACUGAUCAGUGCCGACUACUGUGGGGUACUACUGGCGAAAGUUCACACGACAAAUGCUACACCAGCACUAAUGUUAAAGGAAACAAGAGCGGUAACUGCGGCUACGACCGCCUGCAGCAGCGCUACGUGUCGUGCGCGGCGCGCGACGCCAUGUGCGGCACGCUGCAGUGUCGCCACCUCAACGAGCGACUCGAGUUCGGCAUGGAGUCCGUCGCGCUGCUCUCCGCCGUCUUCAUCAACAAUAACGGUACAAUCAUCCCAUGUCGCACAGCCAUCAUAGAUUUGGGUCUCAACGAUGUCGAUCCGGGUUUGGUGCCCGAUGGCGCUAAGUGUGGCGAUGAAAUGAUGUGUUUGAGCCAACGUUGCGUGCCAGUCGCGGCAGUAAGAGAACGCAUAGCGAACGCAGAGUCGUCCGUCUGUCCGUCCAACUGCUCAGGACAUGGCGUCUGUAAUUCUGAAGGUCAUUGUCACUGCGAGCCGGGCUUCGCCCCUCCACUAUGCGCCCUGCCCGGCCCCGGCGGCUCCACGGACUCCGGUCCUGCUACUGAUCCUACAAUCCAACGCAACUUCAUGGUGGCGAUGUACAUCAUAUUCCUGGGCAUCAUCCCCGCCAUCCUGCUGGUCCUGUUCCUCAUCUACUACUCCAGGCACAACGUGCUCCGCUGGUGGAAGAAACCACGCAAAUCGGCCCCAUCACCGAAGAAAGCAAGCCUGCAACACCGCCUUUCGCGAAGCGCCAGCAAAUUCGCUGCCAACUUCCAAAACAGUACUCAAAAUAAUUCUCAACCCGUCAACGUUCAUACUCUAUCCAACCCUGAUGAUAUGAGCUCCAGUCUCCUGCGAAGUGACUCGGACAGAAGUCCACCAGGCAACAUUAAUCCUUCAGUGAACUUCUUCGGCAAUUUCAAAGGUUUCUCCCUUACCCCCAUAGAAAAAAAUGCGCCCACGGAAAAAGAUGACACUGAGGUCCCCAUUGCUCCCAAACCAGUUAAAAGUGUAGCUGAUUCCGUUAACAAAAGUGCCAAAAUUACCCCCGUACACCGAAGUGGCAGUAAUAGCCAAAGUAUUGUCAACCAAGGUGUUUUGAAACCGGUUUUGCGAAGUGCUCCCCCACUCCCCGUGGUUCCGACAACCGCUAAAACAAGCCCGAAGGCCAGUCCUUCAGUAAAGCGUACUAAUAGCACAGUUCAGAAUAAGAUCAAGGCUUUAAUGAGUAAUGAAAAGACUGAAGAAGUCCCGACCACAGCUGCCAAUCCUCCUCCAAGACCUGUGAUAUCCAGCCCCAUCCUAGAAGCUUCGACUUGCACUGCAAAAGAACUCAUAUCUCCCUUACAAGGAUCAAAAACCUUAGGACCUGUAAGAGCAGCACCAACAGUACCCAUGUCCCCAGACUUCCCCAAAAGACCUCUGAGCAUGCAUUCAGCUGGAGUACCACAAAAACCCCUUCCAGAAGAACCGAAGAAGGUCAAAGAAGGUAUUUCCUUGAACCGCAUAGCGUCAUUCCUGAAACAGGACAAGCCGAAAGAGAAAGAACGCAAUCCGGUUGAAAGAAGUCACUCUUUGCCAAAGAAUCAUAAUAACCAAGUGAAAGUUCCCAAGGUCGACAAGGUCCCGUUAAGAAACCUGCAGAUUUCCAACCCUAUACUGCAAAAGGAGAUUGAACUGCCAGUGAAAUCGGUCCCAGUCGUAUCUGACUCUGAAGACGGAGAUGACCCUAAGGCCUUUGUCAAUCGCGCACAGAGUAUGAGGGCUCCAGCUAGCCAAAAACCUGUUCUACAAAGCUUUGGUUCCAUGAGACAGGCGCCAGCCGCUCCGAGACCUUUGUCAGUGGUUGGGAGACCGACAGCGCCACCUCCUCCAUUACCCAACAAUACUGAGCAUGUACCGCCACCGAAUCCAAAACCGCAGCCAGAAAUCAAAUCAACCGACUAUGUAGACUGCAUUGAAGAAAAACAGGCUCCUUUAGCACACAUUGUCGAAGAAUCUCCUGACAAUAUCUACGCAGUUAUUGAGGAAAGUCCAGAAAAACACUCGAAACCUCUUCCCGGAGUGCCUCCUCCCAUAAAGACCACUCCUCAAGCUCCUCCCGAAGGUUACAAUACUCCUAAAGUGAUCCCAUCCAAUUCUGGAAGCACAGAAAGCAUGGGCUUACUCGGAGAGAUAGUUAACGAAAUACAAAAUCGUAACUUUGAAUCUAUAUACUCUGCGUCAACUCUUUCUAGAAAGAAAGAGAAGGAAAGAAAGGCUAAAGAGGCAGCGAAUAAAGAAGCCAAUAGAGAUAGUACGUAUAUGAAUUCCGAGCAUUAUAAGACUCCUGAGAGCGUUUAUAGCAAUUCUGGAGCCAAAUCUAAUGUCUCAACCACCAGUAGCGGAUACUUGCAUCCUUCUGCUGUCAACGUACCAACUUACUUAAAGAAGGAGGAACCAAAAGAAGAAGAUAAAGCCCCACCCCUACCAGGGCCGAACUCUAAAAUCCCAACUUUCUCAAGACAAGUAACGCCGCCAGGCCUCAAAAACACGUCGACAUUCAGAAACGUACCUCAAUCACCAAAGGUAGCUAAAAACAUGAACUUAAAUCCGAAACUAUCGAACAGUCCGGAUCUGGUUUCUAGCUGCACAUUACCAGACACGAAGAAUGUGAAACCUCCAGACGUUAUAAAUAACAAUAAGCUGCCAAAUGACACUAGUAAGGUGACGAACAAACCAGCGGUUACUGCGAAGCCUAACGACAACCGACCGCCUUUAAGACCGGCGCCCGCAGAGCCGAAGAAAGCGAACAAAGUCACGCCUCCACUCAAACCAGUAAACUCUAACUCUAAUCUAAACAAAACAGAUAACAAAACACCGUCCACCAACCGUGCCAUCUCUAAAGUAGACUCUGUCAAAGCUAUAGCAGACAAUUUAAACAAAAAUAAACCUAAAGUAGUCCCCAAACCUACCACAGUCGUCCAAAGGACGGAUAAUAAACCUAACCAAACAAAAUUAACGGCCAAACCAUCGAAUGUUGCCAGUUUACAGCAGAAAUUCGAAAAUAGAAAGUCGUUGGGCAAAGAGGUUGCCGUAGCUAAAAAAUAAUUUACAAAUGGCGUGUAAUUUAAUUGAGUUAUCUAGUCUGUAAAUAUAUUUAUAUGGCCAUUAGCGCGACAUGUUGGAAAUUUGGAACAGAGUAUGUAAGGAUCUGAUUUUACGAAGCAUUUUAUGUGAUUAGUUGAAUCGUAGAAAGUGUGUAUUGUAUUUGGUAAAUGGUUCGUUAGUUUUAAAUGGCUUGAAGUUUCAGUUAAAUAUGGCUCAAAAUUGAAUACGUAAGUCAACAAUUGACUUUUCUAUAUACUUCAAUUCUGAGCCAUAUUUAAUUGCAGCUCAAAAAAUAGGUGUAUGUAAACAAAAUGCGCAAGAAAUGUUCAAAAUGUGACAAGAGACAUGGUUUUAGAAAGAACGAGAACGAUCGAAAGAUAUAUUAUAUUUUAAUACUUAUGCAGCUUACGAACAUAGGCAUAAAACUAAAAGUGUUCAUAUUUUGUAAUAAUGAAACGCAAUUUUUGACGGUAAGGAAUAACUGUACAUAUAAUAUGUAGAGUAUAUUUCAAAGUAUUUGUAUGUAUUUUACUUACAACGUGUAUAAUCGUAGGUUUACAGCACAAUAGUGAACUUUAGAACUGUAUCAAUAAGAUAUUGGUACCACACUAAUUUUCUUUUGACUAAUUUUUUUGCGUACCCUAGAUGGCGCUACUGUCGAGUUACGUCUUGUCAGUCUUUUUAUUAUUACUUUACUGAGCAAAAAUGUAAAUACAAUUAUCGUAAUAUGUAAUAUAACUAUAUUUGCUCUGGCAUUAGUUGGUAUAACCACAGUAUAAUUCAAUUUUUGUCUUGAAAUAGUUAAAAGAGAAUUUUCCAUCGAUCAAUUGUGAAAAAGUGCUUAUUUAUACAAAACUGGCUUCUGCCAGAGGCUUCGCCCGCCUUCCUAGUAUCGUAACACCUAAGUAAGCUCAAACCCUGUCUGCAUACCAGAUUUCAUCAAAAUGUGUUUAAUAGUUUCAGUGUAAUUGACGGACAAACAUCCAAACAAACAAACUUUCACAUUUAUAAUAUUAGUGUGACAAUAUUGAUACGGUUUCUAAGUUCAUUGUUGUGCUAAAACCUAAAACGAUGACUUUAAUAACUAAGAGAUCUCUGUAAAUAUUACUAGGCUAGAUAUUUUCCUUAAAGUUAGUGAAUAUAAAUGAAAAGUGUCUUAUGGUACAUAAUGCUUAAUUCGUAUUUUUAUAAAGACUAUAUGUGUUUGAGAUUUAUAGAGAAUUAGUGCCUUUACUAUGUUUUUAUGUUGCCGUCUAAAUAGAGGACACACAUUAUUAUGAGUCCCCGUUGUUGCUUGAAACUGAUCGAGUGAUCUCGAAUAUUUUCAAAAGAAGAAUCGAUUCAGCAGUUUUGAUUCUUUAAACUUAAUUUGUUACUGGAUACUUAACCCAGCCCUUUGCAAUUGUUUUUAAAAUAAAGUCAUUGCUAAGGAAUACUUUAAGUAAUCAUUAAAUGUUUCUGUGUACGGCAGUAUUAGAUUUAGUAAAUGAUUUUUACUCAAACAAGCUAUUAUAAUUCAAAAAUAAAUAUAAUAAUAAUAAUUUCGAAAAAAAUCUUCCAUCUUUAUCUAUUUAGACGGCUACAUGUAAAGGCAAAUCUAGUUAGAUUGAGUGUUAAUGCUUUACAAAUACGAUAAAUGAAUAAAUAAAUAAUUUAUAUAAACCCGUUCUCAUCCACAUAAACGUCAAUGGUGCUACAGAACAUACAUGCUUACAGAUAAAUAAAUAUUAUGAACAUAUUUUUGUAAUGUUAAAAACAAAACGGUUUCGAUGUAUUUGUGAUUGGUCGUGUGCAGUUUUCAAAGGAUUACUAUGUUUAUGAUAUUUAAAAAAAGGUUGUAAAUAAUGUGUAGUAAUUAAUUGAAUUAAUAGUCUCUAAUGUUAAUUUAAUUCUAUGUUUGUUGUCUCAAUCUAAAGUCCAAAGUGUUUUUGCGCUCAUCAAUUGGCGCUAGUGAGCUAUAAAGGCAUUUAAGAACCAGACCCGUGCGUGCGGCGCUUCGCGCGCCUCAAAGGACGUUCAAACCACCACAGAUGGGGCCCAAUAGGGCUGAUGCCGAUCCGGAACUGCGAACUACCGAGUUAUCCGGCUCGAAAAGCAGGAUUAGAAACAGGGGUAGUGUUUUGACAGUAAGAGUCUGACACUUUCUCUUGCCUCGCCCAAGGCGGUAGAAGUAACUGGAUGAUAAUCCCCCAUCAAAAAAAAAAUCCUUUGAAUAAGAAAUAUAUUGAAACUGCACACGACCUAAUAAACAAAAUACUGUAAUCGUAAUAAUGCAAUAAUUAAUUGAAUAGAUGCAUAAUAUCGUCCAUAGUCGUAAUCACUGCCACAGCUUGGUACAAAAUAAUGGUGCUGGAUGUCGCGAAGUAAACCUCAUUUAUAUAAUGUCUAUUAUUGUUAAAUAUAUAUAUUAAAGCAAUAGUUUUGUUGGCAUGUUAUGCAUAAAGGAAUAAUUGGAUACCACGGAGUAGGUAAUGGAUCAGAGUUCACAAAACUAUAACUAUAAACAUGGAAAAUUAAAAUAAAUUAUUCUGUCAAGGUGUAUAUGGGCAGCAUAAUGUUGAUUAGUUAUUAAUUUAAAAAAAUAGCAAUGAGGCAGCUAGCAGUUCUUUUGUAUAAUCAAAAAAAUGGCACAAAUAUUUAGAUUCAAAAUUAUCCUGUCAUAAAGGAUAUUUUAAAGCAAUAACUAGAUUUGAGAACUCCAUUCAUUACUUACUCCGUGAUCAGUGAAUCAAAGAUAUUUUUCGAAGUGGUUACAUUAAAUUAAAUUGGUGUAAUAGGUCCGUUAAUUAUUUGAAACAGUCGUCCAUGAUUUUACACAACGAAAACAGAAAUAUUGAACAAUGUAUUUUUGGUAUAAUUCAUAGGCCUUAGUACAAGUUUGUUUUACGUUUAACAAGAUCGAAACGAGAGCGCGUUCGCUCUGAUUGGUUGGUACAUUCGCGCCGGCCAAUCAGAGCGCUGAACGCGUGUUUCGUUUUCAUUCAACGUAAAGCAAACUCGUACUAAGGGUACUGAUGUUGAUUAUAAUAUUUUAAUCUUUACUGUAUUAUUGUUUUUCCGACUUUUGAAUGAGUUACUGCCGUAUUGAGUCGUUUAAUGAUUACUUAAUACAGUCCUUAGCAAUUGCUUUCAGAACAAAAUCGUUACUAAGGAAUAUUUUAAGUAAUCAUUAAAUGUCUCUGAGUACGGCAGUUAGUAGAAAUGUUCAUUACAUAACGUAUAGGAUCAGAAUGAUAAAAUAAUUGUAUUUAUUUUUUCUAUGAAACCUAAAACGUAGGUAAUUAGACAGAGGUCGGCUCAGCGAGUUUCCCCAAACUAAACUGUCAAUAUUUUUCAAUUCUAAUACAUAAGCAAUAAGAUUGAAAAUCCGUUAAGAAAAAUACAGUUUUUGGGGUAGCUUGAUGAGCUGGUAUCUGUUGCAUUAUAAAUAUCUUGCAUUUAAUUUUUGUCUCAUUAAUUGCGUACUGGAUUUAAAUGAUUGUGUUAAAAUUGAAUUUUCAAAGAACUGUGUAUUUCUUUUUCUUUUUACAUGGCAAGUGUGUAGCUAUUAUAUUGUAGUUGUGAUAAUUUAAGUUUUGUAUGUGAAGUACAUAAAUAUUUGUAAAUAUAACCAAAGAAAUUUAUGUAUGGGUGGUCCCGGUACGCAGCCUGUAUUCUUUGCUUGUUCCUCUUAAAAAAAAAGUUUACGUAAUGUGUUGCAAGUGAAAAAAAAUGUUGAAUGAAAAUGGCAAUCUCUAUUAUUAAAAUUUAGCCUUUAUUUUUAUUCCAAGACUGUGAAUUAUAAGUAUAUUGAAUUAUUAUAUCGAAAUUAGUUACUAAAAGCUAGUUGAAUACUUCAUUUUUCUUAUUAUUACAGAAAAAAAGAUAAAUAAAAAUAUUUCACGAA